rnacentral:lncRNA from 12 species
UUUUACUGCCUACAUCCUUUCAGCCUUUUUUCCUCAAAGUUCCAAUAACUUAAAUAAUACCCUACUUUUUUGGGGGUUUUUGACAUAUUUUGACCUAUUCUGCUCACUUUGAAGUUCCAGCACUUCUAGAAAAUCAAUUCUGGAAAUUUGUCUGACUUUAUACCGGGCUGAGACUAGGAUUUGAACCAUGCAGUACUGGCAUGCUGCACGAGCUGCAGCCCUCCUGAGGAGCUUACUCUCUUCCCACACUGCUGUUCAAAAGGAUAGCAAAGACUUAGUAGAGGAAAGUCAGGCCUCCCUGCUUUCAAUUCAUGGACCCACUGAGAAUGAGAUUCACCAUCUGAUGCUGCUCCACAUCUUGCAGUUCUCACAUCCCCAGUGGUGCUGCCCAGCUUUUGAUUCCUCACCUCAGCAGUGGGACACAAGGUUUCAUGAGGUAGCUUUGAAGAUGUUACUGAAGCACUUCUCUACUUCAAGACAAGUUACCCUGGGAUGAUACACAUUCAGAAAAAACAAUGCCAAUGCAAAGUAAUCUCAGUUUUCAUUCAGGUAUAAUGUUCACAACUACAUUUUUUAAAUGUAGGAUACAGACAACUACCAAAGACUUGCAAAUUUUUAAAAAGUUCUUCCAAAAGAGUGUGAAACAGCAGGAGUGAGCAGAGAAG